UAUGUGAUCGUCUCUCGCAUAUCAAUAAGCGGAGGAAAAGAAACUAACAAGGAUUCCCCUAGUAACGGCGAGUGAAGCGGGAAGAGCUCAAAUUUGAAAUCUUAAAGGAUUUCCCUUUACGAAUUGUAGUUUAAAGAAGUGUUUUCUGUUGAGGUUUUGGUAAAAGUUCUUUGGAAUAGGACAUCAUAGAGGGUGAGAAUCCCGUAUUUGACCCUUACUUUCAACUUUGUGAUACACUUUCAAAGAGUCGGAUUGUUUGGGAAUGCAGUCCAAAAUGGGUGGUAAAUUUCAUCUAAAGCUAAAUAUAUGACGAGAGACCGAUAGCGAACAAGUACCGUGAGGGAAAGAUGAAAAGAACUUUGAAAAGAGAGUUAAACAGUACGUGAAAUUGUCAAAAGGGAAGCGUUUGACACCAGUGUUGUUUUUCUGAAAAUCAAUUAAGGAACUGUUUAUGCUAAGCUGUUUAGACUUUAUCAGCUAUCUGUUUAGUUUUGAGCUUUUCUUUAAUGCACUUUUCAGUUAACAAGUCAACAUCAAUUUCUUUUGCUGUAAAAAAGCUUGAGGAAGGUGGCUUGAGAUUCGUCUUAAGUGUUUAUAGCCUCUUGCCUAUGCAGUCGGAGAGAUUGAGGUCUGCAGCGUAGAUCCUUCGGGGCUAAAUGCAUUUGUGCUAAGUUAUAGCAUUUUAUAGACAACUUGUUGACUAUGAUUUGUCUUGUAGCUUACUCGCUUAUGUUAUUUUACCUACGCUUAGGAUGUUGAGCGCAUGUCUCUCUCU
rnacentral:rRNA from 1 species